CUCCGACGAAGACACAACUUUCGCGUCGAGUGUAAUUAUUUCAACAGCAGUGUGGCUACCAGAUAACACACACAUUAUACGUAGUAGGAUGUGACGGCGGUUCAGUGUAGUUCGUUUCGUGUAGUUUGUUGAUCGUGAGGAUGUUCCGUGUUAUGCCUUCGUGCGUGUUCCAUCAGCAGUACGGCAACCGGGAACAACGCCGUCAACAUCAAAAUCAAAACAUGCACUACCGGCCACCAGCGACUGGACCCGAUCCAAAAGGACGGCAUACCUUUGUUGACGUUCUUCAGACAUUACUGAUAUGAAAAAUUGCGACAUGUAUCUCUACACUGAUGACCUAGCGAUUUCGAGCUCUGCAAACAGCCCUCGCAGUAUAGUUAAGAAUCUUAACCUGUCGAUAAGGACAUAUUACAAAUUUUGCAAGACAUGGAAAAUAAAAAAAAAAAUAAAAAAAAAAUCAGAAGCCAUAUGCUUUACAAGAAACAGAUGCGCUAAAAAGCUUCCAAAAAGUUCAGUAAAAC